GAUGAACGCUGGCGGCGUGCCUAAUACAUGCAAGUCGAGCGAAGCGGGGACGGGGGAGUAACACGUGUAGAAACUCCUAGAAGGCGGGGAUAACUUCGGGGAACCGGUACUAAACCGGAAACUUUGCGAUGGAGCCGAGAGGCAUUAGCUAGUGGGUAAGGUAACGGCUUACCAAGGCAACGAUGCAUCGCCGACCUGAGAGGGGGAUCGGCCACACUGGAACGGAGACACGGUCCAGACUCCGACGGGAGGCAGCAGUAGGGAAUCUUCCGCAAUGGGCGAAAGCCUGACGGAGCAACGCCGCGUGAGUGAUGAAGGUCUUCGGAUCGUAAAACUCUGUUAUUAGGGAAGCGUUACCUAAUCAGAAAGCCACGGCUAACUACGUGCCAGCAGCCGCGGUAAUUC
rnacentral:rRNA from 1 species